rnacentral:misc_RNA from 1 species
AGUCUCCAAGGUGGCUUGUGAGUAAAGGAAGGAUGCUUGAGGCUAAGAAGGUUUUGCAGAGGCUUCGUGGCAGGGAAGAUGUAUCUGGUGAGAUGGCUUUAUUGGUUGAAGGACUUGGCAUUGGGGGUGAAACAUCAAUAGAAGAGUACAUAAUUGGCCCAGCCAAUGAUGUCACUGAUGACCAAGACAUAUCUGUGGACAAAGAUCAUAUCAAGUUAUAUGGGCCUGAACAAGGUCUCAGCUGGGUUGCCAAACCCGUCACUGGGCGGAGCACUAUCAGUCUUGUGUCUCGGCGUGGAAGCAUGAAAAACCAGAGUGUGCCUCUCAUGGAUCCUCUUGUCACCCUUUUUGGUAGUAUACAUGAAAAGCUCC